GACGAACGCUGGCGGCGUGCUCAAUACAUUUCAAGUCGAACGCUUUUGUUUUCACCGGAGCUUGCUCCACCGAAAACAAAAGAGUGGCGGACGGGUGAGUAACACGUGGGUAACCUGCCCUCAAGCGGGGGAUAACACUUGGAAACAGGUGCUAAUACCGCAUAACAAUCAGAAUCGCAUGAUUUUGAUUUGAAAGGCGCUUUUGCGUCACUUGAGGAUGGACCCGCGGUGCAUUAGCUAGUUGGUGAGGUAACGGCUCACCAAGGCCACGAUGCAUAGCCGACCUGAGAGGGUGAUCGGCCACACUGGGACUGAGACACGGCCCAGACUCCUACGGGAGGCAGCAGUAGGGAAUCUUCGGCAAUGGACGAAAGUCUGACCGAGCAACGCCGCGUGAGUGAAGAAGGUUUUCGGAUCGUAAAACUCUGUUGUUAGAGAAGAACAAGGGUGAGAGUAGAAUGUUCACCCCAUUGACGGUAUCUAACCAGAAAGCCACGGCUAACUACGUGCCAGCAGCCGCAGGUAAUACGUAGGUGGCAAGCGUUGUCCGGACUUUAUUGGGCGUAAAGCGAGCGCAAGGCGGUCUCUUAAGUCUAGAUUGUGAAAGC
rnacentral:rRNA from 1 species